rnacentral:sRNA from 1 species
GCUGGGUGCAGUGGCCCACGCCUAUAAUCCCAGUGGCUCAGGAGGCUGAGGCAGGAGGAUCGCGAGUUCAAAGUCAGCCUCAGAAAAAUUGAGGUGCUAAGCAGCUCCGUGAGACCCUGUCUCUA